rnacentral:lncRNA from 1 species
UGCCAAAUUUUUUAAUACUAUGACUAUGACCUAAAAUAAAUUUUAUAGGCUCUUAUUCUAUUCCAUCUUAUGACUAUGACCUAAAAUCUAAAAAUCAACUGUAUAAAAACAAUACGCGUUUUAAAUAAAUUUAUAGUUCCAUCAUUCUCGAAGUUUUGGGAAUAAUUGAAAGGAUCAUAUGGAAUACGGUGAUCAGAGCUGAUCUUUCUUCUUUUGCUUCAACACCUUUAUCUUUCUCCAAUCUCCAGACCAGUUUCCAUACCAGUUGCUUCAACUG